rnacentral:tRNA from 1 species
AGAAAAUUAGUUAAUGUUAUAACAUUAAUAUGUCAUAUUAAAAUUAUUGAAAAUAAUUUCAAUAUUUUCUA